ensembl:lncRNA
GGUCAAAGAAUUUUGGUAAUGUAAGUCCUUGUAGCGGCAGCUGGCAGUGAAACUUGCAGCCACUGAAACUGCUCUCACAGGACUAAACCAGCUUCUUGGAGGGGCUCCUUCUCAGCCAAGAUUAGGUCCUUGGCUUCCUAAUUUGGUGUGUAGGAGAUUCUGAUAUUCAUUAAAAUGACAAGCUGACAGAGUGAGGCACAGGCAACCUUUACUCACUCAUCAGCUGUCCAGUCCUGAAAGCUCCGGACUAUUUCAAUCCUCUAGGCUUUCUGUAUACAUAGCUUUUCAGACACAAGCCUCAAAUCUGCCCAGCAAGAUUCCUAGUUAUUCCAGAGCUGACCUUUGAAGCGGUGAGUCUAUAUUUACUGAAUUAUGAAGAAGUUUCCCAAUUAGAAAGAAAAAUGUCUCAAGAUAAUUGAGUACUGAUGGAUCAUGGCCCAAGAUCUUAAUUUCAGGGAUUUAUAUAACUUUAGUUUACUUACCAAUGCAUUCAUGACAUUAAUGGGAAAUUUGGGCCCAGCAAGGUGAAGUGGCUUGACCAAAGACAUACUCAUAUUGUCUAAGCAAAAAUGUUGACAGUUGUAAUUUAAAAUAAUGAUGAUGGUGAUGAUGACAAUUUUAAACUUUCAUAGCUAUGAUAACUAGAUUAUUACAAUGAGUAAACUGAAAGGUUAGAAGAGAAAAAUAUGGUAUUGAAGUACUUCAGAUUAUGGGCCCUUUAAAACAUAAGAUCCAUUCAUGCCAGCAAGGGUUAAGGCUAGUCAUAGAAUUAGUAGGUGCUAGUCUAAAGCUACUGACAACUAUUUUCCACAAAUCGUGAUGUGAUUUCUAAGACUUAAAUAACCCUGGAAAUUAUAACGACACCUAAACAACCUCCAACAGGUCUCUGCAAUCUCUAAUUCUUCUAGUUGGAUCUAUUUUACCCCUUCUUCUAAAAAGGGGUAACAUACUGUCCUAGCUAUCAAGGAUUAACAGCAUUUCUCAAAGCUGCCUGGGCUUUACAAUCAAUGGAGAUUUUUACAUUUUGUCUUUUUCAAUUACAGAUUCCUUGGUUCCCAAACCAGAGCUGCUUUACUGCAGUCUGGAAUCUAUAUUUUUUAAAUAAAUUCCCCAAUUAGCUCUGAUGCAUCAUUUGAGAAUCACUGUUCAAAACAUUCAAUAUCAUUUACACUAAAUUAGGGUUAUUUCUGUAACUGUCUUUUUAUUCACUAAAUUUUAAAGUAAGAGACAAAGUUUAAUUUUAUCCUCCCCCCUUUUUUUCUGGUCUGGCCCCAGCCCUAUUCUGUGCAUAGUGAUCUAGAAAAUGAUUUAAAACCAGACUCCUAGACACAUCUCAGUUUGAAUUCCAGCCCUGCACCUACUAAUUAUUUAACCUUGAGAAAAAUUAUAAAACUUCUAUGAGCCCCAGUUGCUUGUAUAAUUAUAUAUGUAUCAAAGGUUUCUUACAAAAUAUAAAUAAGAUAAACCAUAACAAUAUGAGUUUUGGAUGAAUUGUAACUAGUGGUUAUAGUAGCAAAGGAUAGUGGUAUUAGCAGUAACAAUAGUAGUAGUGGUAGUAUUUGCUUAAUAAAUAUCUUUUGACUUAAGUAAGGAAGAAACUUAAACAAUCUCUAUCAAUAAUUUAGAAGAAAUAAGACCCUGAGCAACAACCAAGGCCCACAUGAGAAUAAAGGGAGUAGGUCAGGCAAAAGUCCUCUUUAGAAAUACUGCCUCAACAAUCCUGAUGGCCUCUGAACUUCUCUUCGUCCUCUCUAGAGGUUAUGACAGACCAUUUGAGUAUUAAUAUCCUCAGAUUCAAUCUAGGAACCCGGACAGAGUCAGUCCACAUAGCACCAAAGAUGACAGCUGGUGGCACUCAGCCUUCCUGGACCACAAUCACCUCCUUGUCUGUCCCUCUUUUCUACUCUAAGGUGUCAUUUGCUCUCUCUGUUGGUUCCUUGCUUUUUUUUCAUAAGCUUUUUCAUUUCCCCUUCUCCAUGUUUGUCCCAAUUUUCUUUGCUUUUUUACCUUCCCACAAUUCUCAUAAGCAUCUCUCAGGUACACCAGAGCACACAUGGCCUAGCAGUUGUCCAUACUCCUCACUAGAAGCACUAAGGCCUCUGGCCUCAUACAUACGCACCAGAAGAUUCCUCUUAGGAACCUAAGGUCACUGGAAGGAUGAAAGAAGUCAUGGUAAUACGACAAGAAGAGACUACUAAGAUUAUUAUUCAAACAGUCUUUUUUAAAAAAAGACACCUAGUAUGUGUCUUUGCAAGAAUGUCUUUUAAUAUGCAGGCAACAACUAAUCCAUAGAACACAUGCAUUUCACUCAUACCAUUGCUCCUCAACACAAUUUUAUCUAAAACUGAUUUUUCCACCUGAUUUUGCAGUCUUAGUCAAUUAUUAAGGACUCAGUUACAAAACAGACUCUGAGCUCUUUGAAAGAAAAGCAUAUUCUAGUGAGGACCCCAUAGCUAAAAAUGAUUUUGCGGGUAUUUUUUUUCUAAUAUUUUUUCUCAGGUGUACUCCUUAACUUCCUGCUUUGCUUAACCCAUGGAGGCCUGGCCAUGGGGACAAUAUAUUAUUCCAUGACUUUCUCUAACUUGUCCUUCUUCGCUGCAGUUUCAUAACACUUUGCAGUGCUGUGCUCGAGUCACAUGAAACAAAGUAUGCCCUUCUGCUGAUAAAACUGCUUUCUGUGGAGAUAUUUUAGCCUGCUGCCUGGAUAAUUACAUGUGUAAUUCACAUUCGAGAUACAGAGCGACUUGAGGCGGGUGCACCCAGCCUGGCCUCACGGGGUCCUGCACUGAUCUGAUGGCCUCUUGCCAUAAUUGGUCAUUGAAGUGGCAGCUGCAAUAACCUCACCCAGUUCUGCCCUCUCAGUGAUCAUCUGGUGCUGCCUGUGUUUUCCCUCCUUUGAGCGAGGGCAAGCACCUUCUGGCUCAGGUGGGUUGGGCACAGAUUGAGACAAGAUGUCAUGUGUUUCAGAAAAGUCAAGGUUGGUUCACAAACCUCUCAGGGCAAUGAAGAGUGAGAAAGAAAGGAAAAUUAGCAUUUAUAAAAACUUAGAAAGGAGCCAGCCUUGUACUAAGCACUUUCAUACAUGUCACACAACUUAAUUCUCACAAUAGCCCAGUAAAGAAGAGACUCAAAGAAGUUAAGAUAAAUUGCCCAAGGUCAUCUAACUAGUUUGCGGCAGACCUGGGACUGGAAAUCAGGUUUCCUAGUUCCCUAUUCAAUGCUCUUUCUACCAAAGUGUGCAUAAUACCACCUGUUCCAUUUAUUCAUACAUCUAAUUAACAGAUACUCAGUUUUGUAUGGUAUGAUAUUCAAGAGCCAGGCUCUGACAUUAGACUGAGUUCAAAUCCUACCUCUAAUAUCUACUACUUAUACAACCUAGAUAAUUAUCUUACCCUCUAUAUACUUCAGUUCCAUAUUUGUAAAAUGGGAUUAAUAAUAAACCAUGUAAGUUAUCCAUGUAAAACCCUGAGACAUGGCAUAGAUUUCAAGAAACUCUUGAUAGAGCUAAUAGGGUGGUGGGGAAGAUAUAUGCAUAAACAGAUAAAUUACAGUACAAUACAUCAAAUACUAAAGUAAAGUUUAAAAGAAAAUGCUGUGGGAUCUUAGAGGAGAAUCCCUGCCUAGCGUCUCCUAUCCUGUGAAAUGUGAAAAGAAUCUACCCAAAUAAAAGGAAAACAAAACUCACAUGGUGUCUAUGAAAACUGGCUGUGCCAGAAAACAGUUAUAGUUUAAGCAGUAAAGACAGAUAAGGUAGUUCCAGUGGUCAUUUUUUACUCAGAACUCCCCUGCUUGUUUCUGGAAGCCCUCUAGGGUUUCUAAGUGCUCAAAAGCUUAGCUUGACCAUUAGUACUGCUGUUUUUAGAGCUGUCAACAUUUAUAUAAAGCUGAACUCGUCUUAUUCAAACAUGCCAUAUAUAAGACCUAAGAAUGAAUCAUUUCCCCUGAAAAGGAGUCUCAUAAAGGUAACAGAGAGUAAACAAAUUUCUAGGUUUUUUGUUUAUUUGUUUAAUCUACUAAAUUAUGAUAUUUAAGCAAUAUAAAUCAUUGACCCUUAAAGAGAAUGAUCCUCACAUAUUCCACUCUAAUUUCCCAAUUUUCUCUCCAGUACUGUGCUAUACCAGCUAAACCGAAUGAUCCGUAAUUUCCCUUACAGGUCUCUAUGCUUCCUGGAGAUUUCUCCAGACUUUGCCCUUCAUCUGGAUUGAUCUCAACCAUAUCCUAAUCUCUAGCUCUCAAAUUCUAUUUAUCAAGCACCCAAGAUUUACACAGAUGCCUACACCUUCCUAACGCCUUUUUAAGGAAUCAAACAUUUCUCUAGAUAUAGUGGGGGUCCAGUUUCAUCUAUUUUCUCUUUCUCCAAAGUCCCCUGGUACUGUACUAGUUCUAGAGAGCUCCUCACACUGAGACCCACAGCACAUGAUAAACAUUUUUUAAAAGUUGGGGAGGCAAAUCUAUGUAUGUAUGUUUAGGCAGGGACAGAGUCAAAUGGAAAAAAAUUGCUGUUAAAUACCUUGAGCGAUCAAUUUAGUAUUUGUUAUAACAUCAAGCACCAUGGACAGUUCUCCAAGCUACAGAAGAAAUGAAAUACAGUAUUGCUGCUUUCAAAGCAUUUAUACUUAAAGAAAUGAGAUCUAUACCAAGGGAAUGGUUAAUUUCAAAUACACAUGUAAAAUGAUAACAGUCUCUAACAUUCUCUGAGUAUUUACUAUGUAUCAAGAAUUGUUCUAAGUGAAGUGCUCUCUCUCUCUCAUCUAUCUUUUUAUCAUUUAUGUACCCACCUAUCUAUCUCUUCAUUUUAUCCUCUUCAUAACUCUAGGAGGUUGGUACCAUUACUAUCUCCAUUCUACUGAGGAAUAAAUAGAAAUAUGGAGCCACCACUCAAUCGCUAAACAAUACAACAUUGACUCCAUCAUUCAUGUUCUUGAUGUCCUGUCUUUGGUAUAUUACAAAUAGUUAAAUUUUGUAAUUCUAAAUACAUGUCAAGAAACAACUGACUGGAGUUCCCAUUGUGGCUUAGCAGAAACAAAUCUGACUGGCAUCCAUGAGGACGCAGAUUUGAUGUCUGGCCUUGCUCAGUGGAUUACGGAUCUGGCGUUGCUGUGAGCUGUGGUGUAGAUUGCAGAUGUGGCUUGGAUCUGGCAUUGCUGUGGCUGUGGUGUAGGUGAGCAGCUGCAGCUCCAAUUGAAUCCCUAGGCAGGAACCUCCAUGUGCCAUGGGUGUGGCCCUAAAAAGACAAGAAAGAAAGUAAGUAAGUAAGUAAGAAAGAAAAAAAGAAAUGACUUUCAGAGGGGAAAAAUCAGUAUAUUCAAAUAAGAAUCCAUUUGUCCAGAGAGAAAGGGUUAAAACAAAAAGUACUCCUUGAACAGCUGGAGAAGAUCAAGUGUAAUAGUAGAGAUGGAGAAACUUCAACAAAGUCAGAGAUAAGAGCUACAGCAGUUUGUGUGGAGAGACCAAGUGAGAAAUAAGGACCAAUAGGUGAAAAAAGAACACUUGAUGCAGGGCCUUGACCACAGGGUAAAGAGCUGAGGUGAUCACUCAAGUAACAUGGAGCUAUCCUAGGUCCUAGUGAAGCAGGAGGAUGAUGGACUGGAACUACUGGUCAUUUGGAACUACAUACUUAUAAACAGGACUUCACACUGUAUCACACAAUCCUAUGUUCUUUACAAGAUUCUGUCCUUGGAAUGUUUUUUGUUUUAGGAAUUAUUUGUUAUUCAUCAAUGUACUCUCCAUGCCUAGCAAAAUCCCGGGCAAAUGGUAGGUGAUCAUAAAUGAUUCUUGUUAUGAAAAGAACAGAGGGAGAAAAUAGGAUAG